rnacentral:rRNA from 1 species
AGAACGAACGCUGGCGGCAUGCCUAACACAUGCAAGUCGAACGCUUUUGGGGCUUCGGUCCCAAAGGAGUGGCGCACGGGUGAGUAGCGCGUGGGAACCUGCCCUGUUGUGGGGGAUAACCGAGGGAAACUUCGGCUAAUACCGCAUACGCCCGGGGGAAACUCCGGGGAAAGAUUUAUCGCAGCAGGAGGGGCCCGCGUCGGAUUAGGUAGUUGGUGGGGUAACGGCCCACCAAGCCUGUGAUCCGUAGCUGGUCUGAGAGGAUGAUCAGCCACACUGGGACUGAGACACGGCCCAGACUCCUACGGGAGGCAGCAGUGGGGAAUAUUGGACAAUUGGCGCAAGCCUGAUCCAGCAAUGCCGCGUGAGUGAUGAAGGCCUUCGGUUGUAAAGCUCUUUCGCACGCGACGAUGAUGACGGUAGCGUGAGAAGAAGCCCGGCUAACUUCGUGCCAGCAGCCGC